rnacentral:rRNA from 1 species
UACAGAGGGUGCGAGCGUUAAUCGGAAUUACUGGGCGUAAAGCGUGCGUAGACGGUUACAUAAGUCGGGUGUGAAAGCCCCGGGCUCAACCUGGGAAUUGCAUUCGAGACUGCGUAGCUAGGGUGCGGAAGAGGGAAGCGGAAUUUCCGGUGUAGCGGUGAAAUGCGUAGAUAUCGGAAGGAACACCAGUGGCGAAAGCGGCUUCCUGGUCCAGCACCGACGUCAGGCACGAAAGCGUGGGGAGCAAACAGG